ACCGGGCUCAGUAACGCGAGCCUGUAACCAAGUGGGGCAUUAAGGUGUUUGGACGUUGGCUGGACCAUCCAAGUUGGGCCUGGUGGGUGCGAUACCGGCCCGCCCAAUCCAAGUAAUGAGUGAUCCACGUGGUCCGGGCGAAGGCCUGGAUCACUUGGAUGCUAAAGUGGAGGGAACCGCGUGAGGCUGGUUUCACAGAGCAGCGACGACCUCCCGCUCUUGUCAGUGGAUGGAUAACGGGUCGGUUCCCAGUUGGCUCGCUCGUACUUGGAUAGUCUCCCUCAAUAGAACAAACACUUUU
rfam:Citrus clementina cultivar Clemenules unplaced genomic scaffold scaffold_7, whole genome shotgun sequence.